GGGGCAGUGCCAGGGGUGGGGGAAUGGCUGGACUCGAUCUUGAGGGUCUUUCCAACCCAAAUGAUUCUGUGGCUCUAUAAGACCACAAGCACAGCAGCAUCUCCCCUGGAUGCUGAGCUGGCAUGGCUUCAGAUGCCUGCUACUCUGCUGCUCUUAUUCAAGAAGCUUCUAGAACCCUCAGCUCACCCCAUGACCAUUCUGCAGAGAGAGGGGGUGUCCUCCCCAUCCAUGGGGCUGGAGGGUACCUGGGGCUCCCCGGCUUCAGCGUCGUAUUGAGGCUGUGCUCCCCAAAGAGCUGCUGCCUUUGGGGCUGCUCCCCAGCCUGGAAUGGGUUUCUGGACUCAGGGCUGGAGAUCAGACGGGUGCCAAGCUGCCGACAGCCAGCUGCCGCUAAAAAAAAGUGAAUACACAUGCUUUUCCAGGGAAUUUGACUGGAAUUCUGUGUAACACAUUUUUUUUUUCUGCUCCAUUAAACACCAUUUGAUGUCAAAUACCCAGCAGGAAAACCACUUGCUGCAAUUCUGAAGAAAGGAAUGAACGGGAUGGUCCAGGGAUGGUGUCACCUCAAAAGAUCUCUGAGCCAGCAGCGAUGAAGUCUAGACCUGGCCAAAACCCCUUCAACUCCAGUCUCGAGGUGUCCCAGUCCCCCCCAGCAGCAGCUUCCCGUGGUGGGCGGCUGUGCCAGCGCCCGGUGCCAAGAGGAUGUGCGAGACAGAGCACGCUUUGUGUCCCGCCUGGCCCAGGCUUGCCCGAUGGAAGAAACAGCAGAGAUCUGCCGGGGUCUGACAUGGGACCUCGAUGGUGGUGCUGGCUCUUUGGUCCAUCCCCGGCUGCCGAGGUCGUACCCUGACUCCUGGGUCAGUUUUGGGCUCCUUCCAAAGCCGUGGAGGUUGCCCACUCAUGGCAAGAUCACCCGCAGAGUCACUUGGGGACACUGACUUUUCUCGCACCUACUUUCCAGGUGAUGGGAAGAAAAAGAGCCCAAGAUAUUUAAAAGCAGGAAGGCAGAUUCUGUAAACUGUCUAAAAAUGUAUCCUCCGGAGAUGAGAUUUCACUCUGGCUCCAAGCCCAAAGGAACGAGCGAGGCUAAUGAAAGCGAGAAAGGGAUGGUUGAGCCAGGGGAGGUCAAGGUUGGAUCUUGGGAACAAUCCCUGGGGGGUUGGACAGACCAAGAUGAGGUUCUCAGGACAUGGGGCAGUGCCAGGGCUGGGUUAUGGUUGGACUCCAUGAUCUUGAGGGGCUUUUCCAACCAAAAUGAUGGAUGAUUCAGCUCCGUGCCCUGGAGGAGGAUGGUGGGCAAGGGUGCUCCUGGCACGGCAGAGGCCAGCAGGGAGAGGUGAGCAGGGUGGGAUGGACAGACGAACGGACGGAUGGAUGGACAGCAGGCUCAGCAGUGGUGCUGGAAGGGGUGUGGGGUCUUCUAAGUGGAAUAAGUGUUUUCCUCACUAAUUACAAAUUACUCAAAAAAUCUGGGGAAUAAUAGACUAGGAUGAGGGGUGUGUAGCAGCAGCAUAAAGCCUCCAAAUGCAGCUGCAUUUCAACAGGAGCUCCCCAAAUGUUCAACAAAGCACCUGAUCUUUAAAAGGAAGUUAGUUAGUUACUGUCUUUAUUCUCACCUGUUGAAUUUUGGAAGAGAUGAAUCAACUUUGGGAUGUUUUUCCCCUGCUAAAUAUUCAGAGAAGCUACAGAGGAAGAAAAUGCAAAUAGUUUCAUGCUCGGUGUUUAUGGAUGAGAAGGUUUCUUUUCCCUUGCUGCUGUCUUCAUCAGCCCUGCGCUGAGCUUACUCAAAAACCUGCGUCUUAUUUAAAAAGCUCAGAUGGGAGCUCUUUUGAAAAUCAACCUAAUGCUUACAGACUUUGCUUUGAUUUCUCAGGAGUAAAGCCAAGUCAGCUUGCUGCACGGAAGGAAGAAAAUUCAGGAUGAGAUGUCUCUGGGCUUUUUUCACGCUGUGUGGAUGCCGCGCACGCUCAAAAAGACAGGACUCGGGGUAUCCCGAGCGUGCUGAAGUUUCAUGGACCAUUAGGAUAAGGGAACGACGUCUCCAUCGACUGGGUUCACCGCUCCGGGUUGCCAAGCAGUGGGAAGUGAAUUACAAGCAGAUUCAGAGCUGGGCUGCAGCCUCCAGCGAGGAUGGGACUGCUCGGGAUGCGGCUGUUGAGGAAGCGCAGAGGAUGCGGCUCUGCAGGGAUGCGGCUCUGCAGGAUGCAGCUCUGUGAGGGAUGCAGCUCUGUGAGGGAUGCAGCUCUGUGGAGAUGCAGCUCUGUGGAGAUGCAGCUCUGCAGGGAUGCAGCUCUGCAGGGUGCAGCUCUGCAGGGUGCAGCUCUGUGAGGGAUGCAGCUCUGUGAGGGAUGCAGCUCUGUGAGGGAUGCAGCUCUGUGGAGAUGCAGCUCUGUGGAGAUGCAGCUCUGCAGGGAUGCAGCUCUGCAGGGUGCAGCUCUGCAGGGUGCAGCUCUGUGAGGGAUGCAGCUCUGUGAGGGAUGCAGCUCUGCAGGAUGCAGCUCUGUGAGGGAUGCAGCUCUGCAGGAUGCAGCUCUGUGAGGGAUGCAGCUCUGUGGAGAUGCAGCUCUGUGGAGAUGCAGCUCUGCAGGGAUGCAGCUCUGCAGGAUGCAGCUCUGCAGGAUGCAGCUCUGUGAGGGAUGCAGCUCUGCAGGAUGCAGCUCUGUGGAGAUGCAGCUCUGCAGGGAUGCAGCUCUGCAGGAUGCAGCUCUGCAGGAUGCAGCUCUGUGAGGGAUGCAGCUCUGUGAGGGAUGCAGCUCUGCAGGGAUGCAGCUCUGCAGGGUGCAGCUCUCCUGGAGAUGCUGGGACCCCAGUCUCUGGUGGCCUGUCCUGGGGGCCAUCACCGCAGAGCUGAGCUGGUUGUUUGCUGCACUCAGAGGGGCUGUUCUCCUCGUUCAGGGUCCAUGGUCCCCAGGGACAGCCCCUAAGGCCCCCUCUGCCCCUGGCACCACUCAGCAUCCUCCUUAAUUAAUUUUGCAGACUACACAGCCGUUUUUGAUGAAAAACAUCCCACAAAAAAAAGCCAAGGAACAGUCACCGAGCAACACUGCGGCCUCUUUUAAUGAUAUUUUCUUUGUGGUUUUGGUUUGGAAUAUCUUUCUCUUAAACGAAGAAAGAAGUCCCCUCUUGGACUGAAACGAUUUGACUUUAUCCCUUCAUUUUCUUGCAUUCCUGAAUGCUCAGCUGCGGCACCUGGGGCUCAACAGGAGUUUUCAGUUGGCCGUAGCAGGGCUAAGACGCUGACCACUUUAAUGUGUGUCUGUCCUGCUGUCUUCUGCACUGUCCCUGCUUGUGUCGUCACCGCAUCUUCAAUUCCUUUGGCACAUGGUGUUGGGGUUUUACAACGGGGCGAUGCACGGGGGAACCGCUGCUGUAAACCAGAAGGAUUUGUUCCAUCCCAAGCUGGGACAUGACAAUCCUGCUCAGCAGCACUUCCACCAGGUACAACCCUGUGGUCGCAUCCUCCAGGAAAGGUGUUUUACCCAGCACGACGUGCAGGAGCCGCCCCCAGGCACGCUCCUUCCCUGGACUGUUCCAGCUCCUUCCAGUAUGGUUGUAUUUUAUCUGUGGAGCUCUGUAAGGAUUUUGUUCCGUCAUCCUGGAAUUUUUAUGACUCCUUUGUGUGUACAUAAUGCGAUUGCCCUGGAACAGGGAGAAAUUAAUCAUCGUUCCUUUGUUAGUUUUCAGGAAUUUUUAAUGUCUAUGUUUUUGUUCAUCUGUCAUGUCCAAAUGUGGGGUCCAUGGGCUAUUUGACAUUUGAAAUGACUUAAUUGCUUAGAUUUCCCCCCUCCAUGUUUAUGGACACUUGUUCACAGUAGAUUUUGAGUGUGACAUUAUGUACCAUGUAUUUUCUGGCUGGUUCCCAUUUUUCGCUCCAUCCCAGUGGUUCUUGCUGUAGAUCAUAACUCCAGACUGACUCCGUCAUCUCCCAGUGGGUCGAUGGGGUGAGCGAGGCUGCAAGAGGUGGCCGAGAGUAACGUCAACCUGCAGCGCAUCCCUCCCUGUGCCAAGUGACGUGGGAACCAAGGGCCUUUUGUGGCGCUUGUAAGAUGUUUGCAUAGGGAAGAUCUCUGAGAUGUCAUUGUGUAUCCCUGUGGGAUGCCCAGGUGAGCAUCCCGCUCAGGUACCCAGAUGUGCAUCCCGCUCAGGUACCCAUGUGAGCAUCCCACUCAGGUACCCAGAUGUGCAUCCUGCUCGGGUACCCAGAUGUGCAUCCCACUCAGGUACCCAUGUGAGCAUCCCACUCAGGUACCCAGAUGUGCAUCCUGCUCAGGUACCCAGAUGUGCAUCCUGCUCUGGCUCCUUCUGCAGCUGCAAGCAGAGAAAGGUGGAAAAGCCAAGGGAGAUCUCCAGGCUGUGCUCAGCCAUCAGCCUGCAAGACAUCGGUUUAAACUCAGGUGGAUCAAGGGAAGCUUGACUGGUCAAGAGGAUAUUGCUCACCGUAUGACACACCUCAUUAGGAAAACGUUGAAACAAAAGGUGCAAUUUGUACCACGCUGCUCUUCCUGAGCGCUCUGCAGAGCCUUUGCAACAUGGUGUGCUUUCGCAGCGGCUCUGUAAUGGCUUUGACGCUUCCUUGGGCACGUUUGCUCCUGCUCUGUCGAGGCUGUUUUGCAUUAAAUUGUUUGUUUAGCAGC